GAUGAACGCUGGCUGCGUGCCUAAUACAUGCAAGUCGAGCGAACAGACGAGGGGCUUGCUCCUCUGACGUUAUCGGCGGACGGGUGAGUAACACGUGCGUAUCCUACCUAUCAGACUGUGAGAGCUUCGCGAAACCGGAUCUAAUUCCUGAUAAUUGAUUUAACCGCAUGGUUCAAUAGUAAAAUACGAGUUUGCUGUGACUUGUGGAUGGAUCCGCGCCGCAUUAGCUAGUUGGUAGGGUAACGGCUUACCAGGGCGACGAUGCGUGGCCGACCUGAGAGGGUGAUAGGCCACCCUGGAACUGAGAUAAGACACAGACCACUCAGGGAGGCAGCACAAGGGAAUCUAACGCAAUGGGAGAAACGGUGACCGAGAACAGCCGAGUGAGUGAUGAGAGGAUUCGGCUCGUAAAACUAUGUUACUAGGGAACAACAAAUGUGUAAGUAACUAUGCACGUAUUGACGGUACCUAAUCAGAAAGCCACGGCUAACUCCGUG
rnacentral:rRNA from 1 species